AGAUUAUUUCUCGGCUGAGGAUCACUUUCGAGGCUAGUUGAAUCAAAUGAAGUGAACUGGUGACAUGCAUGCUUCUUAAACUGCCCUCUUAUUGACAAUUUUUAAAGCACCAAAACAACACGCAGCAACUGGAGCUGGUGAGAAUACCGUAAAAGCUUUUUUCUCGGUUUCUACUCAUGCCUGUUGCACUGUGGACGCACUAGGAGGAGACUUGCAGCUGACAAGCAACACGCACAUGGUGCGUUAUUAUGAUCAAUGAAUGAAGAAAUACAAGACUCAAACAAUCACUGCCUCACCAGACCUGGAUCCAGCCGGUGGCAGGCGAGCCGUGCACCCCUGAGCUUGGGGCUCAGACUGUAGCUGGAAGAGGGAGUGAGACUGAGGCUCAGGCUGGAGCUGGGGCUGAGGCAUGGCUGUGAAGGGGACAGUCCGAGGGAAAUCACUGGGUCUUGCAAGACCCACUAAACGGGAGCUUAUGGCUGUCUCCACUUCGUGACAGAGAUGUGGAUCAAAGCGGGAAGAUCUGUCGAUGUCCACAUCCCGACUAGAUAUUCACCAUCUUUGCUUUAAAAAAUCGGUGAGUAAAAUCUGUUUUAAUAUGUGUACUCUUACGUGGUUUAUCUGUGUGUUUACUCCUUAUGCUUUCAAUGUUUAACAUGCACCCUGUACAAAUAAACAUUUGAUACACUUGAGGUUCUUACACAAAGUUUCUUUUUACAUGAGUGCGCAAUUAUACCUCUGAAUAUAAAACAAUACAUGCUCAUGUAGUUUAGGAACUUAUAUUAUAGCAAAUAUGACAGUGACAGAGCUAAUAACUUUAAAAAUGAUUCCUAUAACUUUUCUCAGCCCUCCACAAAACCUAUUUGUAAUUUAGUAAUGCAAAACCAAAAGUUAUUAAUAGCACUUUGAUUGCUGCCAGGAUAAUCCUACUUUGAGGUAAUCAGAAGAUGAGUGGAAAUCCACGGUUGUGGAGGUAUUUCAUAUGAGUGAUGUGGUCCAGGUUUAGUAUGCACUGUAUGAAGAAGUACGUGGUGUACUGAUAGCUUUGAUGUGUUUAAUGUUCUCAAAAGCUUAUAAAAUAGCCCAUCACCACUCUGCCACUUACCUAUAUACAUCUGAUUUUAUUGAUGAUCAACUUAUUUCCUCAUUUUUUAUUAUGGAUCUUUACCAUACUACUUUGAACAUGGGAUUUCACAGGCUUUGUGUUUUGCAUAGGAACAUUUUGUGUUGUUUAACCAGUCAUAAAGCAGUGUGUUGUGAAAUGAUGAAGUUUGACUUUACACAAGUUACUUUGGAUAAAACUUUAAUUUUCUUUGGCUCAUUAGGCUGUUUGUCAGGUACUCGAUAGUUAACUUUACCAAAUUAAUGGAAAAUUCAGGUUGCAUUAGUGAUUGAGACAUUUAUAUAGUAAUUUACCUAUGUAUAACAUUUAAUUUGUAGUGUUGCCUGUAAGAGGAAUCAAAUAUAUAGUAUCACAGUUUUGUAUAUCAUUUAUUAAACCUGACAUAUUAGCUAUUGACUUUUUUGUUCUAAUGUCUGCUCAGAUGUUAAACUGCCUGUCAGGGUUUAUACAAAAAGGCCAACCUUAGCCAACCUGAUACACAAAGCUUUCAGGUGAUUCAAGAUUUAGGUUCAGCUUUUCGAUACAUGAUGAUGGUGAUUAUGUUCAUUCAUAUGAAUAUAAGUUCUACUUAACUAGCAGUGGACGCAUGGUUUUGGCUGGCAGAGUAUACUACUCCACCCCUAAGGCCUUUUUGGCAGUGGAUGGCAGGGGUCCAGUUGAAGGUUGCAUGUUGAGAGGCAGAUGGCAGGGGGGGUGAAGAUUUGCAGUAUUUUCUCUCUCUGUAAACGUAUACGUGACCAAUCCAACGGCCUCAUACAGCCCACAAUGAAGCAUUCUGUGCACUGAAGCAAACUUCAGCUUUACUGCAGCUACACAGCUAAUACAGCAAAGCCAAUAAUGGGACACACACACUUGCAAAAACAAGUACAAGACCAAACUUUGUGCAGGAUGUCAGAUCUUAAUACUUUUACAACAAUAUUGAACAUAAUUUUAUAUUCUUGGCUGUUUUUGCCCUUUCGGUGUGUUCUUUGUGAGUGUGAGUUUGAUGAAAUGGUAUGUUCAAAGUGUUAAUUCUGUAAAACCUGUAACAUUGAAAAUGCCAUUUAAAUAGAUAUUAUCAAUUAUCGAAUGAUUUUUUAUUUUUUUUAUUUUAAAUACAUGGGUAGCAGUGUUUCAUGAAUAUGCUUCAAAGGCAGAGCUAAAGGAAACUGCAGGGAAGCUAGAACAACAAGUUCCAAAAACUUGAACUUGAAUGAGACAUUCUGUGUUUUAAUGAAUUGUAUAAGAAACCAGCAUUUUUAUAUGUUUUUUCUGAAGAUGCAAAAGUUACGACAACACCUAAAAACCUUUUAAUGCUCAAAGGUAUGAACCGAAAAAUACCAAAACUGGAACUGUAGAAAUAAAUAAUACAUUAUUUAAUGAAUUAUUAUUACAGUGUUCACAAUAAUUGUAAGUAAUCAUUAAUAUAUUUAAUUCCAGCUUUUUUUUUUAAACUUGAAUUAUUUAUGGUUUACCCUUAAUGUGCUUUGUUUAAUUUGUAUUUAAUUUAAACAUGUUUGCAUUUCAUUUUAAAAUAGUAUCAUUAAAAAUGUAGUAUAUAGAGAGAAAUAUAGGGUGCUCCCUUAUUUUUUUUUAAACAAUACAUUUUUCAAGUUCAAGCUCAGGUUCUGUCUGAAGAACCAAAACGAGAAUACUUUGUCUAUAUAGACAACAAUAUAGACAUACCAAAAUAAGUGUAUAUGAUAAGAUAAAUGUAUGUUUUCACAGCAUUGCUUUUAGCGUAGAAAAUACAAUAAUGGUUCACGAAUACACAGCAUCAGAAUAUUUUGGUGUGUGUGUGUGUGUGUGUGUGUGUGUGUGCGUGUGUGUGUGUGAGAGAGAGAGAAAGAGAGAGAGAGAGAAUGCAUGCAUGCGUGCACUCAUGUGUGUUCUCCUUGUUUACUGGAUCACUUGCAGGUGAUUUUUGUAAAUUGUUGUGAAUUUUUUUUACAAUAAUGAGGUUUUUGUAAUAUUGCCUGUUUUGUUCAUUUUUGAUAGCCAAUCCACAAAUAUAUUAAGUGUUUCAUUAAUUUUCAUGAAACAUUUUAAGUUAUUUAUUUGUUUAUUUCAAACAAUUCUCAUUUACAACAUUUAGUUUGUCCUAAUUCUUAUCUAGUUAUCUUAGACUAGUGUCGA